UAGGGAAUCUUCGGCAAUGAGGGCAACCCUGACCGAGCAACGCCGCGUGAGUGAAGAAGGUUUUCGGAUCGUAAAGCUCUGUUGUAAGAGAAGAACGUGUGUGAGAGUGGAAAGUUCACACAGUGACGGUAACUUACCAGAAAGGGACGGCUAACUACGUGCCAG
rnacentral:rRNA from 1 species